AGAUUGAACGCUGGCGGCAGGCCUAACACAUGCAAGUCGAGCGGCAGCACGGGUACUUGUACCUGGUGGCGAGCGGCGGACGGGUGAGUAAUGCCUAGGAAUCUGCCUGGUAGUGGGGGAUAACGCUCGGAAACGGACGCUAAUACCGCAUACGUCCUACGGAUGAAAGCAGGGGAUCGGCAAGACCUUGCGCGAAUGGAGCGGCCGAUGGCAGAUUAGGGUAGUUGGUAGACGGUAAAGGCUACACCAAGCCUUCGAUCUGUAGCUGGUCUGAGAGGACCGACAGCCACACUGGGACUGGAAGACCGACCGGGCCAAGUACUCCCGUAAGGGAGCAGCUAGGUGGGAAUUUUGGACAAGUGGG
rnacentral:rRNA from 1 species